rnacentral:rRNA from 1 species
UAAAAAAUUUGGCGGUAUUUUAGUCUAUUCAGAGGAACCUGUUUUGUAAUCGAUAAUCCACGAUGGACCUUACUUAAAUUUGUAUCAGUUUAUAUACCGUCGUUAUUAAAAUAUUUUAUGAGAAAGUUAAUUUUUAAAAUUUUUAAAAAGAAAGUAUAUCAGAUCAAGGUGUAGCUUAUGUUUAAGUUAAAAUGGGUUACAAUAAAAUUAUUUAAAUGAAUAUAAAUUUGAAAUGUUUAUUGAAGGUGGAUUUGAUAGUAAAAUUAUAUAGAUAAAUAAUUUGAUUUUAGCUCUAAAAUAUGCACACAUCGCCCGUCACUCUUAUUAUUAAGGUAAGAUAAGUCGUAACAUAGUAGAUGUACUGGAAAGUGUACCUAGAAUGCAAUUUAAAGCUUAUUAAGUAAAGUAUUUCAUUUACAUUGAAAAGAUUUUUGUGCAAAUCAAUAUAAAUUGAUUAUUUUUUAUUUAUUAAUUAAUUUAUUUUAAGAAAUAAUCUAUUAAAAAUAAUUAUAUAAUGAUUAGUUUAAGUAUUUUAUAAAGAAAAAAUAAUUUUAAUUAUAGUUAAAUAGUAUUGUGAAAGAAAAUUGAAAUAAUUUGAAAAAUU